AUUGAACGCUAGCGGCAUGCCUUACACAUGCAAGUCGAACGGAGUGGCGAACGGGUGAGUAAUGUAUCGGGACGUGCCCAGUAGCGGGGGAUCACUACGCGAAAGCGUAGCUAAUACCGCAUACUAUUAAGGCGGCCUAGGUCGGAUUGGCGAGUUGGAGGGGUAACGGCUCACCAAGGCGGCGAGCCUUAGCCGGUUUGAGAGGACGACCGGCCACACUGGGACUGAGACACGGCCCAGACUCCUACGGGAGGCAGCAGUGGGGAAUCUUGGACAAUGGGGGAAACCCUGAUCCAGCCAUCCCGCGUGUGUGAUGAAGGCCUUCGGGUUGUAAAGCACUGUUGGCAGGAAAGCGGUACCUGCAGAAUAAGCACCGGCUAACUACGUGCCAGCAGCCGCGGUAAUAC
rnacentral:rRNA from 1 species